rnacentral:rRNA from 1 species
CUUGGAAGCAGCCAUUCAUUUAAAGAGUGCGUAACAGCUCACUAGUCGAGGAGUUUGGCGUGGAUAAUAAUCGGGCAUAAGUAUUCUACCGAAGCUUUGGGAUGAGAAAUCAUCGGUAGGGGAGCAUUCCACUCGGCGUCGAAGGUGAAGCGCGAGCUUUGCUGGAGCGUGUGGAAAAGCAAAUGUAGGUAUAAGUAACGAUAAAGGGGGUGGGAAACCCCCUCGCCGAAAGACUAAGGUUUCCUGAUCAACGCUAAUCGGAUCAGGGUAAGUCGGGUCCUAAGGCUCAGCCGAACGGCGAGGCCGAUGGCAGAACCGGUUAAUAUUCCGGUACUACCUGUGGGAGUGACGUGGAGACGGAGUCGUGACAGCGCCGCGGACUGACGGAAUAGUCCGUUGAAGGGUGUAGAUGCUGAUUGUUCCAGGCAAAUCCGGAGCAAGAGUCGAACCUGAUAGUAUGGAGCGUUCUUAGAACAAUCCAAUAGUGCGUGUAAUCAUACUUCCAAGAAAAUCCGCUAAACUUAAUCCUGCAGGUACCCGUACCGCAAACGGACACACGUAGUCGGGUUGAAUAUACUAAGGCGCUUGAGUGAUUCACGGUUAAGGAACUAGGCAAACUGACCCUGUAACUUCGGGAUAAAGGGUCCUCGCUUUACGGCGAGGCGCAGAGAAUAGGUCCAGGCAACUGUUUAACAAAAACACAGGGCUGUGCAAAAUUGAAAGAUGAAGUAUACAGCCUGACACCUGCCCGGUGCUGGAAGGUUAAGAGGAGAUGUCAUCGCAAGAGAAGCAUUGAAUUGAAGCCCCAGUAAACGGCGGCCGUAACUAUAACGGUCCUAAGGUAGCGAAAUUCCUUGUCGGGUAAGUUCCGACCUGCACGAAUGGUGUAAUGAUCUGGACGCUGUCUCAACCGUGAGCUCAGUGAAAUUGUAGUAUCGGUGAAGAUGCCGAUUACCCGCGAUGGGACGAAAAGACCCCGUGAACCUUUACUAUAGCUUAACAUUGAAUUUGGGUAAUUGAUGUGUAGGAUAGGCCGGAGGCUUUGAAGCGGGCACGCCAGUGUCCGUGGAGCCGCUGUUGAAAUACGGCCCUUUGAUUAUUUGAGUUCUAACCCGUUGUUGCGGGGACACUGUUUGGUGGGUAGUUUGACUGGGGUGGUCGCCUCCAAAAGUGUAACGGAGGCUUCUAAAGGUGCCCUCACGACGAUUGGUAACCGUCGGCAGAGUGUAAUGGCAUAAGGGCGCUUGACUGGGAGACUUACAAGUCGAUCAGGUAGGAAACUAGAGCAUAGUGAUCCGGUGUUUCCGUAUGGAAGGGACAUCGCUCAAAGGAUAAAAGGUACUCCGGGGAUAACAGGCUGAUCCCUCCCAAGAGCUCAUAUCGACGGAGUGGUUUGGCACCUCGAUGUCGGCUCGUCACAUCCUGGGGCUGGAGAAGGUCCCAAG